rnacentral:rRNA from 1 species
CCCCAGUAACGGCGAGUGAAGCGGCAACAGCUCAAAUUUGAAAUCUGGCCCCUAGGGCCCGAGUUGUAAUUUGUAGAGGAUGCUUUUGGCGAGGCGCCGCCCGAGUUCCCUGGAACGGGACGCCACAGAGGGUGAGAGCCCCGUCUGGCUGGCCGCCGAGCCUCUGUAAAGCUCCUUCGACGAGUCGAGUAGUUUGGGAAUGCUGCUCUAAAUGGGAGGUAUAUGUCUUCUAAAGCUAAAUAUUGGCCAGAGACCGAUAGCGCACAAGUAGAGUGAUCGAAAGAUGAAAAGCACUUUGAAAAGAGGGUUAAACAGUACGUGAAAUUGUUGAAAGGGAAGCGCUCAUGACCAGACUUGGGCUUGGCGGAUCACCCGGCGUUCUCGCCGGUGCACUUCGCCUCGCCCAGGCCAGCAUCAGUUCGCGCCGGGGGACAAAGGCUUCGGGAACGUGGCUCCUCCGGGAGUGUUAUAGCCCGUUGCGUAAUACCCUGGGGCGGACUGAGGUCCGCGCAUCUGCAAGGAUGCUGGCGUAAUGGUCAUCAGCGACCCGUCUUGAAACACGGACCAAGGAGUCGUCUUCGUAUGCGAGUGUUCGGGUGCAAAACCCCUACGCGUAAUGAAAGUGAACGCAGGUGAGAGCUUCGGCGCAUCAUCGACCGAUCCUGAUGUUCUCGGAUGGAUUUGAGUAAGAGCAUACGGGGCCGGACCCGAAAGAAGGUGAACUAUGCCUGUAUAGGGUGAAGCCAGAGGAAACUCUGGUGGAGGCUCGCAGCGGUUCUGACGUGCAAAUCGAUCGUCAAAUAUGGGCAUGGGGGCGAAAGACUAAUCGAACCUUCUAGUAGCUGGUUUCCGCCGAAGUUUCCCUCAGGAUAGCAGUGUUGAACUCAGUUUUAUGAGGUAAAGCGAAUGAUUAGGGACUCGGGGGCGCUAUUUAGCCUUCAUCCAUUCUCAAACUUUAAAUAUGUAAGAAGCCCUUGUUGCUUAGUUGAACGUGGGCAUUCGAAUGUAUCAACACUAGUGGGCCAUUUUUGGUAAGCAGAACUGGCGAUGCGGGAUGAACCGAACGCGAGGUUAAGGUGCCAGAGUAGACGCUCAUCAGACACCACAAAAGGCGUUAGUACAUCUUGACAGCAGGACGGUGGCCAUGGAAGUCGGAAUCCGCUAAGGACUGUGUAACAACUCACCUGCCGAAUGUACUAGCCCUGAAAAUGGAUGGCGCUCAAGCGUCUCACCCAUACCUCGCCCUCAGGGUAGAAACGAUGCCCUGAGGAGUAGGCGGACGUGGAGGUCGUGACRAAGCCUAGGGCGUGAGCCCCGGUCGAACGGGCUCUAUGCAAUCUU